rnacentral:lncRNA from 1 species
CUCCGUGCAGAGAGCAAGCCCUCUCUGCGUUGCAUUUGGGAAGGGGCCUCCUUUGCUACUCUGCGGGGCUCGCUGGAUCUUGUUCUCCUCUCCAGGUUGGAGGACCCCCCCAUUCCUGAGCAGCGGCUGGAGGAAACCCCGCCCUGGGAUCCCGCGAGGUCCGCGAGAGGCGCCUCAAAAGCCAGCCUGGAGCUCCGCAGCGGGGCGGGGGAGAAUUCUGGGCCCAGGCUUGGGUCCCCCUUCCCCAGGCAUCACCUAACAUUACCAGCCCUCUCCCCGGGUGCCCCCGAAGGCAUCAAGCCAGGCCCCUCGUCGCUGCCUCCACCGCGCCCUCCUAUCCCUCCUCCUUUCCUCGCCUUCGCGCGGGACGAAGUGGCCGGCGAUGUCCCGAAAGCGGGGCGUCGGUUCCUCCCCCUCGGCGCAGCCCAGGGGCUCCCCACACCGCGCCUCCAAAGAACCAAGUGUCGAAAGCCGCCAGUCCCUGUCAGCGCGGGCAGGCGGGCCCGAGCCAGGUCCCAGCGCCUCCCAAGGCGGAGGGUGGGGGCGGCCGCCACACCUGGACCCGCGGACACCUGGGCGGAACUCCAAGCCGCAGCGAGGGAACGGCUCUUUGGAAAUCAGACUACCUGGAUCCCGGUUUUCUCCGCAUUCAUUUCCCUUCGUGUUCCCGAGUUCCACCAAGGGGAAUUGAGGUCCGGUGCUUUCAGGGUCGCAACUGGGUUAACGGGGGAGCUCUGGGGACCCAGACUCGACUGGGACAUUGCCCGUGGAGGAACAUGGUCCUGUGGUCAGCGCAGAGCGGUUAUCAGGCAGGACCUCAAAGGGAGGGGAAGACCAUCCUCCGACCGUCCUCCUCCCACCCAGAGACACCUCCCUUUCACAGGGACCCGCAACCCCCGCCCCACUCUCUCCAGUUGCCAGCCCCAAGCAGCAUUAUGGUGGCCUCCAAAACGCACAGUAGACACCUGGGUCCCCGCGUUAAAGCUCUGUCCACACCACACCCUAAGGGUGGGCUCUCCUGGGGGUCUGUCCGCCCUUGGGAGGAUGUGA